rnacentral:rRNA from 1 species
CCUACGGGGGGCAGCAGUGGGGAAUAUUGGGCAAUGGGCGCAAGCCUGACCCAGCAACGCCGCGUGAAGGAAGAAGGCACUCGGGUUGUAAACCUUUUUUAUCAGGGACGAAGCAAGUGACGGUACCUGAUGAAUAAGCCACGGCUAACUACGUGCCAGCAGCCGCGGUAAUACGUAGGUGGCAAGCGUUAUCCGGAUUUACUGGGUGUAAAGGGCGUGUAGGCGGGAGUGCAAGUCAGAUGUGAAAGCUAUGGGCUCAACCCAUAUCCUGCAUUUGAAACUGGACUGCUUGAGUGCUUGGGAGGCAGGCGGAAUUCGGGGUGUAGCGGUGAAAUGCGUAGAUAUACGGAGGAACACCGGUGGCGAAGGCAGAUUGCUGGACAGUAACUGACGCUGAGGCGCGAAAGCGUGGGGAGCAAACAGGAUUAGAUACCCGGGUAGUC